AUCUCCUUCACUGACUGGGCAUUUUGAUUGGCUCUUUGGAGUUUUCAGGACCCAGGAAGACCGAUGGGAAUUAUAGUUUCGACUAGGGGAUGAAAGAAUGGGCAACAACACAGAUGGAGGGAAUUUGCGCCCAUGGAAACUCGGGAGGUGAAGACUCAUUGUGAAGCUACGCCCAUGCAAACGCGAUAAGCUUGACAAGAUUCUGGGAAGAAACGUCAUCGUCUUGUUGUUGUUAAUAGAUGGAGAAUGCAAUAGACACACAUAUGUAUAUCCGGUUAUCUGAUUAAAUAAUCAUAACUAAAUAAUCAUAAAUGAUGGUUUAUCACAUAUGAUAAAAGGAAGGAAUGUUAAUUCUGGCCAAGUGAGACCAGGACACUAAAAUUGAGUAAAGGCUUCUGGGCUGCAAGGCCAUUUGGUCAAUUUAAAUGUGCCUUCUGCAGAAAUAGGACAAGCUGCAGAAUGGUGCCAGUUUGUCAAGAGCCUAGAUAGGAGCUGCAGCAAGAGAAUGAAACUUCUUAAGAUCCUGACAAUUAGGUGCAAAUUGCAAAGAUUGGAUUGGAUGAAUGCAAACCAGACAUACACGUUGUACAUAUUGUUGCAAAACUUUAGUUUGCUAGAUGUUGAUUGGAUUAAGUAUUGAGCCUUGUCUGGGUUUCUUGAAUAUCUGGCUAAAUGUUGCCAUGUUUGCUUCCUCUCAGCCGCACCAUUUGAAUACAUUGUAAUAGUCACUGUAUUAUUGGGUUAGGGAAAUGUCUAUCAUAUACUGUUAAUCGAUUACUGUGUAAAGAGACCACCCCUUUUGUGGUUCGGCCCCUCAAGGUCCGGGGACCUAUACAAGGUAGCUCCCAUGAGAUCCUUUUAGGUUAGGCAUAGUAGUGGAACUAUAAUUGUGUUUAGUCAAAAUAAAGUUUAGAUACGC